ensembl:lncRNA
GUGCCUGUCUGUGCCUGUGUAUCCCGACAAUAAACCAAAUCCUCUUGCUGAUUGCAUCCUGUGGUGUCUCGGUCUGGUCUUUGGAGUUAGAGGGUCUCCAUCCCGAGGGAAAGUUCUCCCUGAGAGCUUUUCAUUUGGUGCGUUGGCCGGGAAAGGAGAUCCUCCACCCAGGGACCACCGACCACCCACUGGGAGGUAAGCCGGCCGGCGUCUGUCUGUCUGUCUGAUUUUGUCUCGUUCUGCCUUAUUCUGUCUGUUCUGUGAGCGCUCAGCCAGGUCUGUUCUGUGAGCGCUCAGCCAGGUCUGUUCUGUGAGCGCUCAGCCAGGUCUGUUCUGUGAGCGCUCAGCCAGGUUCUGUGAGCGCUCAGCCAGGUUGUUUGGAAUUUGGGCGGGACGAAGAAGGAGCUGACGAGCUCGGACUUCUCGCCCCGCAGCCCUGGAAGACGUUCCAAGGGUGUUGGGGCCCGACUUUUCGGGGCCCAAUCUGGGAGAGGAGAAAGAUCCGGACUAACGGCACCUCUGUCUGUAUUUUUGGCUUUCAGAGGGCCCCGGACCUUUGCCACCUCCAUCUGACUUUUUGCUUUCAGUUUGGUACCAAAGCCGUG